UAUUCAUAGCACCAUUGCUCUAGAUCUAGAAGAUAUGCCCACCGCCAUAAAAUGCUGAAUUUAAUGAAUAAUGCAUGUGAACAAGUUACAACAGAUGAUUGGAAGAAAGUGGUUAAUAAAACUCGAAAAAACAUCACUGAAGAUUGGCAGCGCGAAGUCCGGUUUGACUCCAUGUGCGACCAGAAAUUAAUAAUAAACCUUGAAGAUUGUUCAAGUGACUCAGACACUGAUGAUGAUGACUGUGACUUAGGUUGUACACCCUUAACAUAAAUUUUAAAUCGUAAAAUCUUUAAAUAUAAAUUUUAAUUGACAUUUUUACUAAAUAAUCAAACUAAUAAAUGUAUGAAGAAAAAUUUGGUGCAUUUUUUAAAAUCAUUUUUGGAAAACUUAUCGAUACAUCGAUGUGAACCGUACGAAACCUUCCCAGCACUAGUCACAUUCGUUUGACAGCUGUCAUUCUAAUCAAGCUAUUUUUAAAGAAUUGUAAUAGUUCUACUGUAUAUCAAAUGUAAAAAAAUGGGACUAUCAUUAUUUUUGGUGUCGACCUUUUCGGAGUGCAACUUUUUCAUUGCUUGAGAGUGAACAUAAUUAUGUAAUAUGUAUGGACUUUAUGAAAUUGUAUCAUAUUACCUAACACAAUAUCAAUUUUCAUACCUACUUAUAUUUUUCAGCUCAAUUUAUCACCCUUACGAAUGGAAAAGUGUUACUCAUGUAUGCAGGUCACACGUUCAGCAAAAGUGGAAAGUUAAAACAUGGAUUCCGCUAUCUGUGCUCUAAAAUGCUCACGAAAAAAUGUCGUGCCGAAAUAACAAUUUCCUUUGAUUGUCAAGAAGUAGUCAGAGUAAAAGGAGGACAUAAUCAUGAAACAACCACUUAUCACUUACUAGUGAUGGAUCCUAUACUAAAGUAUAAAAUAUGUACCAAAAGUAUUUUUCCAAAAACCUACUCUACAGGUCAAAAUUGAAGAAAUCCCAAACAAUUAAACAGUGCCAUAGCACCAAAUUACUCCUAAACGGAAAAUGUUAGCUGAAACGGCCAUGAUGCAGUCCGCAAUAUUGAACUCAAUUUAUCACCCUUACGAAUGGAAAAGUGUUACUCAUGUAUGCAGGUCACACGUUCAGCAAAAGUGGAAAGUUAAAACAUGGAUUCCGCUAUCUGUGCUCUAAAAUGCACACGAAAAAAUGUCGUGCUGAAAUAACAAUUUCCUUUGAUUGUCAAGAAGUAGUCAGAGUAAAAGGAGGACAUAAUCAUGAAAGAACCACUUAUCAUAUUGCUAGUGAUGGAUCCUAUAUUAAAGUAUAAAAUAUGCA